UGCCAGACUCCUACGGGAGGCAGCAGUGGGGAAUCUUCCGCAAUGGGCGAAAGCCUGACGGAGCAACGCCGCGUGAUCGAAUGAAGGCCUUCGGGUUGUAAACAUCUGUUGACAGGGACGAAUAAGCAAUGCGAAUAGUUUUGUGUAUGACGGUACCUGUUUAGAAAGCUCCGGCUAACUACGUGCCAGCAGCCGCGGUAAUACGGAGGGAGCAAGCGUUGUCCGGAAUUACUGGGCGUAAAGGGCGCGUAGGUGGGCGGUUAAGUCAGGGGUGAAAACGCGGGGCUCAACCUGGAGACUGCGCUUGAACCUGGGUGUCUUGAGGGGAGGAGAGGAAAGGGGAA
rnacentral:rRNA from 1 species